GCCCCUUAUGACCUGGGCUACACACGUGCUACAAUGGAUAGUACAAAGGGUCGCGAAGCCGCGAGGUGGAGCUAAUCCCAUAAAACUAUUCUCAGUUCGGAUUGUAGGCUGCAACUCGCCUACAUGAAGCCGGAAUCGCUAGUAAUCGUGGAUCAGCAUGCCACGGUGAAUACGUUCCCGGGCCUUGUACACACCGCCCGUCACACCACGAGAGUUUGUAACACCCGAAGUCGGUAGGGUAACCUUUAUGGAGCCAGCCGCCGAAGGUGGGACAGAUAAUUGGGGUGAAGUCGUAACAAGGUAGCCGUAUCGGAAGGUGCGGCUGGAUCACCUCCUUUCUAAGGAA
rnacentral:rRNA from 1 species